UACGUAGGGUGCAAGCGUUAAUCGGAAUUACUGGGCGUAAAGCGCGCGCAGGCGGCUCGUCAAGUCUGGCGUGAAAGCCCCCGGCUCAACCGGGGAGGGUCGUCGGAGACUGGCGGGCUUGAGGGCGGUAGGGGCUGGUGGAAUUCCCGGUGUAGUGGUGAAAUGCGUAGAGAUCGGGAGGAACACCCGUGGCGAAGGCGGCCAGCUGGGCCGACCCCUGACGCUGAGGCGCGAAGGCGUGGGGAGCGAACGGG
rnacentral:rRNA from 1 species